rnacentral:rRNA from 1 species
AUUGAACGCUGGCGGCAGGCCUAACACAUGCAAGUCGAGCGGAUGAAGGGAGCUUGCUCCUGGAUUCAGCGGCGGACGGGUGAGUAAUGCCUAGGGAUCUGCCUGGUAGUGGGGGAUAACGUCCGGAAACGGGCGCUAAUACCGCAUACGUCCUGAGGGAGAAAGUGGGGGAUCUUCGGACCUCACGCUAUCAGAUGAGCCUAGGUCGGAUUAGCUAGUUGGUGGGGUAAAGGCCUACCAAGGCGACGAUCCGUAACUGGUCUGAGAGGAUGAUCAGUCACACUGGAACUGAGACACGGUCCAGACUCCUACGGGAGGCAGCAGUGGGGAAUAUUGGACAAUGGGCGAAAGCCUGAUCCAGCCAUGCCGCGUGUGUGAAGAAGGUCUUCGGAUUGUAAAGCACCUUAAGUUGGGAGGAAGGGCAGUAAGUUAAUACCUUGCUGUUUUGACGUUACCAACAGAAUAAGCACCGGCUAACUUCGUG